rnacentral:lncRNA from 1 species
AACACUAUGGAAAAUGUAACAAGUCUGAGAGGAAAGGCUACAGUCACCUUGAACGACGAACACAGCCUUGUUUCGGUGGACUUCUUGAGGCGGAUGGCUCUGAAAUCACACAGCCUGACAAUAACGUAGUCUAUGAGGUGCCGAUGCUUUGAUCGUAGGUUUUUCAUUUGGAACAUGGUGUUUGUGACGGUGACUUCUUGCUCACCACAAAGGCUUAGCAAACCUCAAGCCAUCUGCAUUGGCCAACGUCGUGCUGUCUCAUCACUCCAUAUCUCACAAUCUUCUUCUCACUCAUGCGAUGAAGUCACCCAAUAACAAGAUAAUGUCCUUUUUGGUUACUCUGUGGAGGGCCUCGUCCAGCGUCUUGUAAAAGUGAUAUUUUGCAUCAUGUUCUAAUAGUGGAGUUGGUGCAUAAGAGACUGGCAUGCUGCUUUUCAAUCAGGGGAAUACGAAGUGACAUUAGCCUUGUGCCAGUUGGUGUUUCUGUGAGAUUUGCCAGGAGACAGUUCAUUUACGGCGAUGCCCACGCCAUGCAGAUGUUGCCCUUCUGGGGGGUGUCCCUUCCAGGAGAAUGUGAAGCCCUCUCCUUCCUCCCUGAGUAAACCUUCACCCAGCAGAUGUUGCCCUCCAACAGCUCCAGUCUGUUGGAGGACCGCCUUUCAAGCGGUCCUGGUAACUGGUAACUGGUGAAUGGUAACAGGUAACUGGUAACUGGUGAAUGGUGAAUGGUAACUGGUAACUGGUAACUGGUAACAGGUAACAGGUAACUGGUAACUGGUAACUUGUAACUGGUAACUGGUAACAGGUAACUGGUAACUGGUAACUGGUAACUGGUAAAUGGUAACAGGUAAAUGGUAACAGGUAACUGGUAACUGGUAACUUGUAAAUGGUAACUGGUAAGUGGUAAGUGGUAACUGGUAACUGGUAACUGGCAACAGGUAACUGGUAACUGGUAAAUGGUAACAGGUAAGUGGUAAGUGGUAAGUGGUAACUGCAAACAAAAAUAAAACCUGAUAAUAAAGUGUCUUAGUAGGGCGUUGGGCUACAACCAGCUGCCAGAACCGUUUCAAUCAGCCUUGGCAUUGAUUCUACAAGUAUCUGGAACUCUUGGUGGGAUGUGACACCAUUCUUCCUCCUGGAAUUCCAUCAUGUGGUGUUUUGUUGAUGGUGGUGGAAAACGCUGUCUCCAGAAUCUCCCAUAAGUGUUCAAUUGGUUUGAAAUCUGGCGACUGAAACACACCUUUUAAAACCCCUGUGCUCCUUCGAGACUCCUGAGGUCUUUUCUUCUAGCAACGGUAGUCAAAAUAAUGAGCAACUGGGCAUUUUUUUUAAUAUCCUACAAGACCCUAAGCAUGAUGGGAUGUUCAUUGCUUAAUUAACUCAGGAACCACACCUGUGUGGAAUCACCUGCUUUCAAUAUACUUUAUAUCCCUCAUUUACUCAAGUGUUUCUUUUAUUUUGUCAGUUACCUGUACAUUUAUGCCAAAUAGAUUUGAAUAUUAGGUCCUAGAGUAGACCCAUGUUGGCAUAUAAAAACUUAAAAAUGAACAAAGUAUUAUAAUUUGUCUCGAGCCCUGGGUAGCCGUUUUCGGGAGUCCUCCAAUGUAUAAAUGUUUUGAACAUUUGACGCCAU